AGAUUAGAGUUGACUUAUGGGUGUUCUCUCCUACUGCCCCCUUCCCUCCCACCUCACCCAGACAGGAGGAAUAGGCCAAAGACCAGUGAAAAGAACUGUACAUGGAAUUGCAUUUCCUCACAUAUUUACUUAGAAAUACGUUCAACUUUUAGGACGCUUAUUCAAGGCUGGGGAAAAAGCUGGACCAAUAGCUAUUUCGAAUGUUGCAUAAAUCCAACGAUAAUAAUUUUUGCUCAUCUGCCAUGUGAUCUGUCUUUUGUGCUCUGUUGAAAGACAUCAGAUGAUGAAGUGGACCCUGGCAAGGGCAGCCUGCCCUUUUUAAAGGCAAGUUUAAAGGUAGGUUUAAAGGCAGACCUUUAAACCUGGGAAAAGCUAAUGAAGAUGCAGUAAACCUGAGACAUACUAAACGAAUAUGUAAAUAUGUAAAUGUGUAUGUCUAAGUAGGUAUAGUUUUUUUUUUUUUUCAGUUUUUGUGUUCUUUGGUGGCAUUAUUUUUGGAAUAAGACAAACCUAGGUUUGAACCAUGACUCCACCAUAUAUUUGCCCUCUUAAACAUGAGCAAGUUAGAGCUAAUCUUUUUAAGCUUUCAUUUUCUCAACUCUAAAAAUACCUCUCUUUUUCAUCACUAAUAUACUUAUAAGUACACACAUACACACACCCUACAUUUGUAUUUAAACUAAUUAGAAACAUACAUAUAAUUUCUUCCUUUGUCAUGGUAAUAUAUAUUGGUCUAGACAGUCAAUGUCUCAAAAAUACAGUAAGCCUGAGAUAAAUAAUUUGACACUCUCUAGAUUAAUUUAGCACGUUACUUA
rnacentral:lncRNA from 1 species